GCUGGGAUGUAGCUCAGUUGGUAGAGCGCUUGCCUCCCAAGCAUAAGGCCCUGGGUUCAAAUCCCCAGCACAGCA